GUGGACGCCAGUCUGCAUGGAGCCGACCUUGAAAUACCACCCUUUAAUGUUUGAUGUUCUAACGUGGACCCGUGAUCCGGGUUGCGGACAGUGUCUGGUGGGUAGUUUGACUGGGGCGGUCUCCUCCUAAAGAGUAACGGAGGAGCACGAAGGUUGGCUAAUCCUGGUCGGACAUCAGGAGGUUAGUGCAAUGGCAUAAGCCAGCUUGACUGCGAGCGUGACGGCGCGAGCAGGUGCGAAAGCAGGUCAUAGUGAUCCGGUGGUUCUGAAUGGAAGGGCCAUCGCUCAACGGAUAAAAGGUACUCCGGGGAUAACAGGCUGAUACCGCCCAAGAGUUCAUAUCGACGGCGGUGUUUGGCACCUCGAUGUCGGCUCAUCACAUCCUGGGGCUGAAGUAGGUCCCAAGGGUAUGGCUGUUCGCCAUUUAAAGUGGUACGCGAGCUGGGUUUAGAACGUCGUGAGACAGUUCGGUCCCUAUCUGCCGUGGGCGCUGGAGAACUGAGGGGGGCUGCUCCUAGUACGAGAGGACCGGAGUGGACGCAUCACUGGUGUUCGGGUUGUCAUGCCAAUGGCACUGCCCGGUAGCUAAAUGCGGAAGAGAUAAGUGCUGAAAGCAUCUAAGCACGAAACUUGCC
rnacentral:rRNA from 1 species